UUAAAUUGAAGAGUUUGAUCAUGGCUCAGAUUGAACGCUGGCGGCAGGCCUAACACAUGCAAGUCGAACGGUAACAGGAAGAAGCUUGCUUCUUUGCUGACGAGUGGCGGACGGGUGAGUAAUGUCUGGGAAACUGCCUGAUGGAGGGGGAUAACUACUGGAAACGGUAGCUAAUACCGCAUAACGUCGCAAGACCAAAGAGGGGGAC
rnacentral:rRNA from 1 species